rnacentral:rRNA from 1 species
GACGAACGCUGGCGGCGUGCUUAACACAUGCAAGUCGAACGGAAAGGCCCUGCUUUUGUGGGGUGCUCGAGUGGCGAACGGGUGAGUAACACGUGAGUAACCUGCCCUUGACUUUGGGAUAACUUCAGGAAACUGGGGCUAAUACCGGAUAGGAGCUCCUGCUGCAUGGUGGGGGUUGGAAAGUUUCGGCGGUUGGGGAUGGACUCGCGGCUUAUCAGCUUGUUGGUGGGGUAGUGGCUUACCAAGGCUUUGACGGGUAGCCGGCCUGAGAGGGUGACCGGCCAACUUGGGACUGAGAUAAGGCCCCGACUCCUACGGGAGGCAGCAGUGGGGAAUAUUGCACAAUGGGCGGAAGCCUGAUGCAGCAACGCCGCGUGCGGGAUGACGGCCUUCGGGUUGUAAACCGCUUUCGCCUGUGACGAAGCGUGAGUGACGGUAAUGGGUAAAGAAGCACCGGCUAACUACGUG